UGGGGAAUCUUGCGCAAUGCGCGACAGCGUGACGCAGCAACGCCGCGUGGGGGAAGACGGCUUUCGGGUUGUAAACCCCUUUCAGUUGGGACGAAGGUUCGGUCGUUAAUAGCGGCCCGGACUGACGGUACCUUCAGAAGAAGCCCCGGCUAACUACGUGCCAGCAGCCGCGGUAAUACGUAGGGGGCAAGCGUUGUCCGGAAUCAUUGGGCGUAAAGAGCGUGUAGGCGGCCCGACAAGUCCGCCGUGAAAGUCCGAGGCUCAACCUCGGAAUGCCGGUGGAAACUGUCGGGCUUGAGUUCGGAAGAGGCGAGUGGAAUUCCUGGUGUAGCGGUGAAAUGCGCAGAUAUCAGGAGGAACACCAAUGGCGAAGGCAGCUCGCUGGGACGACACUGACGCUGAGACGCGAAAGCGUGGGGAGCAAACAG
rnacentral:rRNA from 1 species